rnacentral:tRNA from 1 species
GGGCGUAUAGCUCAGUCUGGUUAGAGCACUGCCCUUACAAGGCAGGUGCCGGGGGUUCGAGUCCCUCUACGCCCA